UGCAAGAAAUAACUAUCGAAUUCUUAUCUAUGCUUUUGAGAAAGUCACAGAUUUAGAUUGUCAUUAUACCCAACCAAAGGCGUAAUCACGGGGCAAAUAAUAAAACAAGCAAUUAUACUUUUGUUGAUAAAUAUAAGUAUUAUUUAUCCAAGUUGUAUGGUCUUAUUGCAUAAAAAAAAAGUUGCAUGGUCUUAUGACCACAUGCAUGCUAUUAGCUCCCCUAUUAGCAGGAAAGUUCAUUUACAAAAACGGAGUGUGUAACAGUAAGAUAAAGAAACUGAGAAAAUUUGACACCAAAAGAAGAGUUUUAUGUUUUACGCAUUUUUUUUUCAUCAAGAGAAUUUAUCAUCUACCAUUGAGAAUUAGCCUAGAUUUACUUGUAGUCUUACCCUGCCAUCAUAGGAUAAUGAUGCAAAGAUCCAUGGUUCACAAGAACUCCAUGUGAGCCCUGUAACAUGAAUAAAAUAUUCGUGAAGAAAAGUACAUGUGAGCUUAAAAGUUAAAACCAUGUAAAAAUUGGCAAAAGAAGCAGAAGCUACAAUUAUUUGCCUUUUCGGAAUGUGGAUCAAAUUUGACAUGAUGUAAUUCUAAACACAACUAAAGAUCAUGGAUUGAAAAACCUUAAGCUCUUACCAUAAAUGCUGUCUUCAUAAUCACUGUACGUAUUAAGCAAUGGAUCAACCCAUCGGGCAGAUGAAUUGGCUUGUCUGCUAAAGUAAGCAUAGAUGAAUAAAAAGUAGUCCUAAAAUAAAUGUAAUAUAGUAACAUCUUAAGAUAAUAAGAUGACCUUUCAGUUGUUAACUCAUCAUGAUUUAUUGAGGCAAGCCACAAGUUGACAGUUGAAUCCGUACCAGCACUCUGUAACAUCCACAUUCCAUGAAAAAUAAGUAAAUAUCCCCUACAUGAUAAUUUAGUAUGCAGACCACCUUUAACCAACAAAUGGACACCAGCAAGAGAUUUAGAAGUCAUUAAAAAUGCAUAUUUGUAUGUGUGCACAUGUGGGUGUGGGAAAAAGCUUCUCUAAGGCAAGUUUAUAUGUAAAGUAAGCAAUUAAGGGUGUAUCCACCUUCAAAUUUUAGUUGGAUAAGCUCACCAUCCACUUUAACAUAAAUCAAGGAUCGAUACACCCUUCGCUUUAGAAACAAGCUCACUUCAGAGGAUCUACAUCCCUCUGUGUGUGUGUGUGUGAAAGAGAGACAAAGAGAGAGAGAGGGAGCGAGAGAGAACCAAGAUCAUUCCAUCAUACUCUGGGUUACACUUGACAGUCCAAGUCCUAGCAAUACAAGUAAUACAGACUGCCAAUCAGAUGUCAAAUGAUAUCAAAUAGUAUAUUUUCAUUUUAGAAAUUUUUUUUAACAGAAUAAAGAAAAGUUAUUUGUGCUUUAAAAGUAUGAUUGUCACAACAUAUGGUAAGCACUGAAAAUAGAGCAGUAAUUUCCUUCUCUGCUUUCAUUUUUAGUUUACUUUCAUUUUUUCCAAAACAGAGAUGAUUGAAAAUUGGAACAUAGUAGGAUUCUUGGAUUGGGAAUAUAGCUAAAAUACAAAAAUCAGCUUUGUAACUAUACAUGGUAGGUACCAAUGAGUAUGUCCUGGAAGCUCUUGGAUGGGAACUUUAGGUUUUCUUAGAUCCCAAAUAUGUAUCCCAGACUCAUGUUCUGCAGUAACCUGUACAAAACAUAGCAAUUCAAUUUUGCCAACAUGAACAAAAGGUGGCAGAAUAUUACUAUAUCAGAAGGCAGUUGCUACUAUAAACUCAUUGAGUAAUAGACGUGAGAAAAAAACAUGUAAUGCAAAUCAAAGUAUUUUAAUACUUGGAAAACAAAAACAAAAAUAGUUAUCUAUGAUGUGUUAAUUUGAAUCUGUAAUUGAAUGUGAGAGAAAAAAUGCUGGCAAUCCAUAUAAAAGCAUUGGUGAAUUUCAGAAAAUGUUAAAGAACACAUUAUCACAAAACACAUUAUGAAACCAGUUAGUAUAGACAUAUUAUAAUGAGGAUCACAAAUUUCAACUCUUACAAGCAUGUGCUGCUUUUGGGGAUGGUAAUCAACACUGCAUACAUGGGAACACUCGAUUGACAUAGUCUUCCUGUGAUUCAAAGAAUCCUAUUAGUAGACAUGAAAUUCCUAGAGGUACCAAUUCAGACAAAAAACUAAUUGAUUUCAGGGGGAUGUAUAUUUGUCUCUCCCCCCCCCCCCCCCUCCCCAAUCCUAGUUGCAAAUACAUUCACUUCCAAAAUUAAACAAUAUUGAAUAAUUUUUCAGGAUGCCUAAGAUCAUAUUACUGCAUAAUUCAAAGUUCAAAAAAAUUAAAUCAACUCCUUUCCUUGUGAAAAAAAAAAUGAACAAAUGCAACCAUAAAAUCACAUUUUUGCUCAAUGUGGUGGAAUAUUAUCAUGUCAUCAACUAAAAUAAACCAGUAAAAAACUUAAUGAUGUUAUAUGAACAUUACAUACUUCAUUGUUCUGACAUCCCAAAAUUGGAGAUACGAUUCACAAGUUGCAGCAACAGAACUCACAUCAUGUGGGUUCCAUGCCCCUCCAGAUAACUUGUGCAGCAUACCAGCGGAAUCUUGCGAUUGUACCUGUUUUUUUGCUCGAAUUUAUUGGAAGGUGUUGGAGGAACUAAGUCAAAAUCAUCAAAAGUUUCAGGCAUUUACAAAUAGUAGUGACCAUAAUCACACAAGUCUAUGAUUAUUUAAGUCCCAACUAAAUCUUGAGUCCUAAAUUUCCGAACUACAGUUACAUACAAUAUUAUUUAACACCAACUUCCAAGAAAAUUUUGUGGUGUUUGACUUGCAAUGAGAUUGGAAACUAAAAUCAAUAUCAGAUUUUCAAACCCAAAUACCCUUAAGGGAACAAAAUUAAAUCCAUUAUGGACAAUAUGUAUGGCCCACUACUGAGUCACUUUUAUCAUGAACUUACUCAUCACAGAUUUGUUUUAAGAAGUCCAUUGACCUAUAUCUUCACUCAUCUUCAACCAUUCAUUUUCUAUAAUGCCUCUCAUUCAAAUAACUUCAUAAGAUUCAGUAACAAAAAUCACAUGAUAAUUGUUCAUAUAUUACAAUUCAAGGAAUGUAUAUUGUAAAAUAUUUCUCCAAUUACUUUUGAAUUUUAAAUGCCUAGAUAAAAGAGAAAAACUAUCCGCUUCAUUUUUGCACAGGACGAAAUGAUCUUUCAUUGUUUACUUUCUCCAACACGUUUUCUUCCUCUUUCUAUUUAGGAUUCAUUAAUUCGUUCAUUAUAACAAAUGAUGGUAACUUGAAUAAUGAUAACAUGUUAUUUUGUACAAACAUGUGUUUCCUGUAUGAACAUAUGAAAAAAAAAUGUAUGUAUUUGUGUCACAAAAGGUGUACCAUACCAUAAAAUUCAUACCAGUGCAAUUUUCUUUGAAACGUCUAAAUUCCACAAGUACAGGUUUUCCUCAUUGAUGCUGAUCAAUUUAUCAUGUCUUCCAGAUGGCCACCAUAGAAUACUGUUUGGUGGUGAAUAUUUAGUAAGGAAUACAAAUUCAAGAUUGAUGAAUAGACUUAAUUACAUUUUUUAUCCCCCCUAAUACUUUUACAGCAGCUAAAAGUGCAAUUAGUUAAAAGUGCAAUCGGGUCACAAUAGAGGAGCUAAAAGUGCAAUUAAACCUAAAUAAUAGAAGCAAAUUUUCCGGGUGAUAGCUAAAAGGGUGGUCCAGUAGAGUAAACUAAAGAAAUGACGCAUUGCUUGAUAGUUAAUAUCAGCAUUUAACUAUCUCCCCCACAUAUAAACCUAGGAAAAUGACAUAGCACAUAAUGGAAGCCAAACUCUCUAAAAACAUCGUUCUAGAGUCAAGAGCAAACGGGAAUUGCAAACUCACCAUUUAAUCUUGCCAGAAUCUGUGUCAAGUGAGGUAAUUCUCUCUAGCUGAGGUGAAUUUAACUCGCCAUAUAGCUCGGGGAUCUGCCAUAUUGCUGCCCCAUACGUUUCACCUAUAAAUAAAUAAGAACAUAAAGGUAAUCACAAGUCUUCCUAACCAAACCAAGAGCCUUAGAAUGUAGCACAAGCUAUCUCAACAUACGGGAAAACACUUACAAUGUGAAAAUACACAAACAAAAAAGUUAAAAGAAGAGGUUAAUUACCGUUAGAGUAGACGGUUGAAAAGAUCCGUUGAUCAAAGGGACAAGAGACAAGGUCCCAGAUCUCGUUGGGGUGAGAGAACAAUCCCUCGCAGAAGAGUUCAGUUCCACUCGACGAAAGCCGAAUCAGAUGUACCUAUCAUGGAACGAUUCACUCAAUUAAUUUCUACAGGGAUCAAACUAGAACAAUAUGCGAGUAUGUACCUCAUUUUCUUCUUUGAGGCUGAGAGUGCCAGCGAGGAAGCUAGUGUGAUCUGUGUCUGCUUUAACAUCCGAUAUGCACCUAGCCUAUUAUAUAAAAGAGUAUAAGAAAUGGAAUAGUUAAUUAGAUCGAUGCACAAAAUUCGUGAGGGUUUCGUGCCUUGGACCUGAUAUUUUAGACCGUAUCCGAUGCCUGAAGACGCAGCUUGCAUUGCUCUUUCUUUUUCUUCGACGCCGAAUCUAAUACUACACCCGCCGUGCGACACCUCAAUACAAAGUAGAGUUGCUGCUCGCUGGGUUUUUUUCUUUUUUCUUUUUCUGAAGCCGUAUUUUUGGACCAGGGGAGUUGCUAGGUGCACCCAGCAAUAUUGCUGGUGCACCCAGCAAUUGAUUGAAAGUACCAUUUUGCCCUUUAAAAUAAAAUUAUAAAAAACGCAAAUCAUUUCCGGAACAGCUCUGCUAGACAACAAAUUCUUCUUCUCUCCCGUCCCGGAACACAGCUUCUUCUCUCCCGGAACAGCUUCUUCUUCUCCCGGAACCUGCUUCUUCUCUUCUCCGUGAAGCUUCUUCUCCGCGAGGCGCGCCAAGGCUUUCUUCUUCUUCUCCGCGAACAGGUUAGUUCCCCUUCCCCUUACCCUUAGCUUGUAAUGUGCAUCACUGUUAGCAUAGCAAUGGAACCUUAGCAUAACAAUGGAACCUUAGCAUAGCAAUGGAACCUUAGGGUAGAAGACGAGAGGGGAGAAGACGAGAGUACGCCGGAAAAAAUGGCGGAAAUGGCUGACGGAGGAGUCUUCCGGAAGACCCCUUAGGGGUUCUUCCGGAAGAACGUUUUCCGGAAAGUCUUCCGGAAGAACACUUCUUCCGGAAGACUUCCGGAAAACGUCUUCCGGGAACUUUCCGGAAGAAGUGGUUCAUCCGGAAGAAUUCCGGAAGACGCCCACUUCCGGAAGAAGUUUCAAACUUCCGGAAGACCUUUCCGGAAGAACCCUUCUUCCGGAGUGUUUCCGGAAGAACCACUUCUUCCGGAAGUGGGUUUUUUUUUUUUUUUGUGUUUUUUUUUUUAAAUUUUUUUUAAACAGAAAUUGUUUUGUUUUUUUUUUAAAUGAAUUAUUUUAUUUAUUUUGGUUAUUUUGUUUUUUAGAUUUUAUGAAAAAUGAAGUUUGGGUUUUUGAUGUCAUAUUUUUUUUAUAAUUUAAAUUGUGUAUUUUUACUAAAUAUUAAUUUGUAAAUUAAUUUUUUUUUAUAAAAGUAGUUGUGUUUUUUUUGUUUAUUGUUUUUUUUUAAAUUAGUGUUUUUUCUUUAAAAAUGAAGUUGGCUAUUUUUAUAAUUAAAGUUGUGUGUUUUGGAAGUUUUAUAAAAAUACUAAUUUUUUAUAAUUAAUUAGUUUAUUUUAUUAUAAAUGAAGUAUUUUAUUUACUAAAAAAAUUGUGGAUGUUUACUAAAUAAUUUUUUUUUUACAUUAGUUGUUUAAUUUUUUUUAAAAAUUAAGUUGUGGAUGUUUAGUAAUGAAUUAUUUUUAUAUUAGUUGUGUUUUGUUUUUAUAAAUGAAGUUGUUUAUUUUUUUUAAAAAAAAAUUAACUUGUUGAUGUUUACUAAGUAAUUUAGUUGUGUUUUUUUUUAUAAAUGAAGUUGUUUAUUUUUUUUUAAAAAUUAAGUUGUGGAUGUUUACUAAUUAAUUAUUUUUAUAUUAGUUGUGUUUUUUUUUUUUAUAAAUGAAGUUGUUUAAUUUUUUUUUAAAAAAAUUAAGUUGUGCAUGUUUAUUAAUAAUUUUAUUUUACAUUAGUUGUUUUUUUUUAUAUAAAUGAAGUUGUUUAAUUUUUUUUUAAAAAAAUUAAGUUGUGCAUGUUUAUUAAUAAUUUUAUUUUACAUUAGUUGUUUUUUUUAUAUAAAUGAAGUUGUUUAAUUUUUUUUUUAAAAUUAGGUCGUGUAUGUGUGAAAAUGAUUUGAUUUAAGUUAGUCUUAUUUGUUUAUAAAUAAAGUUGAUUUUUUAUAAAGAAAAUUGUGUAUAUUUUGACCGAAAAAAAAACGUGUUCGACAUGAUUUACAGAUCAUGGCCAGAACACGAGGUUUAGGUCGUGCCAUAGGUAGAUUUGUAGGCAGAGAUAGAGCUGCUGACGAGGAUGCUGGCGAUGUUCCCGAGAGGCGUAGGCCUACUGCCUCAGCCCGUAGGCUACGCGUUCAUCAGAUGACUACGGAGGGACGUGAUAUGGCUGAGGACGUCGCUGACAUGACUGAUGAUGUCCCUGAGCAGCCUACGGAGGCACCUGAGAUGCGUGCGGACGCACAGGGUGCUGAUAGUGGUGAGGGGUCAGAUGGUGAUGAUGCUGCAGAGGGAUUCCCUGGUGGUCCACGUGACCCGUCAGUGCUCACAUCAUUUGCCGAGCAUGUUGCACAUGCCGUGUGGAGUGGACAGGUAUUUUAAUUUGUUAAUUAUUUGUCAUUGUUUAUUUAUUUGUUUAUGAUUAAUUUUUUUUAAUAAUUGUAUAAUUUGUACUUCAAAUCAGGAACGUCCUGAUUUGAAGUUAGUGUCACAUGGGAGGAAGCUGACACUGAUUGGGAGGCCAGUGCCUGAGAUUGAAGGCCUGGUGGCUGCCACAGGAUUAAGUCCACUGAUAGAUUGUUCAGUUAUUACUGGCGAUCCUGGACUUAUAUCCGCAUUUGUGGAGAGGUGGCACAGUGAGACUAGCACCUUCCACCUUCCAGUAGGAGAGCUGACGAUCACAUUGGAUGAUGUGUCGUCCAUUCUACAUUUGCCCAUCACUGGCGCCUUGCACAGUUUCCACGCUCUUUCUACGGAGGAGGCCAGAUUCUUGCUCACGGAGUUGCUGGAAGUGUCUGCGGAGGAGGCCAGAGCCGAGACAGCGCUCACACGUGGAGCAUAUGUACGAUUAGGAUGGGUUCGUGACAUUUAUGAGACCAGAUGUCAGGCCCGGCGGUGGAUUGUCGCAGCUCGCGCUUAUUUGCUGCACCUUGUCGGUUGCACUCUUUUUGCUAAUAAGAGUGCAACAUACGUGCAUGUGGUCCACCUUGACGCUUUCCGGGACCUCGCUCAUAGUGGUGGUUACGCUUGGGGGGUUGCCGCGCUGGUUCAUAUGUACGACCAGUUAGAUGAGGCUUGUAGGACCACCACCAGACAGCUUGCGGGGUACUUGACGCUAUUUCAGGUAAAUUUUGUGUUUAUUAAUAUGUUAGGUUCGAUUAUGAUUUAAACAUGUUUUUAUGUUAUGUUAACCUCAAUUAUUGUGUAGUGCUGGAUCUAUGAGCACUUCCCUAGUGUGCAUCAGUGCGUGACUGACGACACAUACCAGGAGACGUCCCCACGUGCUUCCCGGUGGUUGACGUCGAAGGCGCACAUGAAGGGCAUCACAGGAGCACCCUACAGGGCACGUUGUGAUGGUUUGACCGUCACAGAUGUGUCCUGGUUGCCGUACACGGAGCAUCGGGGUGUUAGGGCGUUUCAGGAGAUUUCAUCGUUCCAGGGUCAGCUCAGAUGGGGUCCUAUGAUCGUCGCAGUUCGACCGGAGAGGGUGGUACGCCAGUUCGGUUACAUCCAGAGCAUCCCUCCGCCGCCUGUUAGUGCACGAUUGUCACAGGAGCAGAUAGAUGACAGGUGGAUGGAGUUUGCGGAUCACUUACUACCUGCGGGUCAGCCUUGUUUAGUGCCUGGGCAGGUAUCUGCGGAUUACAUUGAGUGGUUUUUCCGCAUAUCUCACCCUUUCAUGACACCGACCCAGGCAGCUGACCAGCAGAGGGAUGCACCAGCUGCAGACCCUGAGGACUACAUACAGCCGCCCAGCCCCCAGGUUCCAGUGGCAUUUGACCCCCCUCCAUAUGUGGUAAGAUUAUUUGCGCGUUUAAUGUUUUAUGAGUUGUUGUUUAUUUUGAAUUUCAUAAUAAAUGUUUUUACUGACUUUGACAGGAUGAUUACGAGGGAUAUGAGGCGAUUGCACAGAGGUUGGAGCGUGUGCUCAACCUUAGGAUAGUCACUGCAGGCACAGAGUUAUAUGACAUUAUGCAGGACUGCCUGACGAUCGCGAGAGGGGGACCCAGUGCUGAUGGGACGGUCAGGGCUCGUCAGAGACGCCGCACGGACCAUUGAUCAUUGUAUUUAUAUUGUUGUGUUGUAGUUGACAUGAAUAUUUGUAAUUAUUACAGUUUUUGUUUAAUAUAGUUGGCGUGUUUUGCACAGUUUAUUAUUUUAUAAUAUAGUUUGUUAUUCCGAUUGUUUGUGGUCCUUAAGCGAAGUUUACGGUUGUUUUAAAUUUAUUUUUAAAAAAAGGGAACCUAGAAUCAUGAGUUUUGUUUGUAAGAAUUACAUAAAAAAUAAAAGUUUUUAAAAUAAUUAAUAAAUCAGGAAAUAGUCCCGUUCCCCAGUUCUCAUGUUUGGACGUCAAAGAAUCCAAAAAAAAUAGUCCCGUUCCCCAGUUCCGUCAACUAACACGUCAAAACAAAGCCUCAAAAUCGAAAAAAAUAGGAAAUGAACCCUUUUUCCAUGUUCAAGUAUCCAUGUUUGGGAUUUUUUUGCGUGGGUGUGCCUGUGCCCUGAGACAAUGGAGGGCGGCCAUUUCUCAUGUUUGGACGUCAAAGAAUCCAAAAAAAAUAGUCCCGUUCCCCAGUUCCGUCAACUAACACGUCAAAACAAAGCCUCAAAAUCGAAAAAAAUAGGAAAUGAACCCUUUUUCCAUGUUCAAGUAAAUAAUUACUGUAAUAACCGAAUUCAUGAUUGGCCUAAAGCAAGCAGAGCUAGCAUGCACAGUUCCAUUAUAGGCUACAUAACAGCAUAUUAGACCUAAUCAUCUUGCUUGUUUACAAUGUGAUAAACGGAUUAAUUAAAGGAUCCUAAAAAAGAUCAAAUCUUCCAAAUGCACAGAAGCUCCACGAUCACAAUCUUCAAAACCUAUUCAUUAAAGAAGCAAGAGAGUUCAUUAAAGUUCAAACUUGGAAUAUUCUUAUUCCCCUUGUAUUCUUGUAACUCUCGCAAGCAUACUCAUCGUCACCAUUAAAACGCAUUCACGCAUAGAAGGCGGCGCGCACAUUCUCCAAGCAAUUAAUAGCCACCUUAAGUUACAUAUGAUUCACUCUCAUCAUCGUAUAUUCCUAUUUCGUAUUCAUAUAAAUUGCCAACUUCCUUUCAUAUUCCCCACGUUCUACUACUGUUUCAGCAAGGAAGGGACUUAUAAUCCUUCUUCAAUACUUCAACGUCUUUAUAUAUCUUCGUGUCUGGAGCAUGAUCAUGGAGUCUCAGCCACUUAUGGGUUGGAGCUCUUUCUACGAAAUAGAUGAAGAACCAUUUCCAUUUACGUGCCAAUUUUCUUACAGGUAAACUAUGAAUGUCAUUAUGUGUUGUCAAUUAUGACAAUGAUGUAUGCUGUACGCGUAAAUGAUUUUUGUUGGACCAACAAUUUCCUUGCUUAACCAAACGAGUAGUUGAUAAUAUUAAUUGGUUAGUGACGGGUUACAACGAAUUAUAUCGCAUAAUGAAUACAAAUAAAUAAACAAUGAAUGUUUAGUCUUCAUUUAGGUCUACAUAGUGUGUUUUGAAUGACAUCAAGCUUGUGUAUUCCUGCAUUCUACUAAUAUAUGGAAUUGCCCAUUGCUUUGCCUGAGAAUAACAAUUGGUUGACCACAACAGCGCUGGGGGCGGCAACGGACAAUGGUCUUUCAAAUAAACCUGUUGUACAUGAACAAACAUUAUAUCAUGCGCUGACCGUGCCAAACGAACAAGCGAAGUCAUUGCAUAAUUGUUACACUAACUAUAUUCAAUGUACCUGAACAAAAUGAUUUCCAAACACGUGACCGACACAUAUGAUGCGGUGGCCAGAAGAGUCAGGUGGUGGUUGACUUCUAAGAGGGAAAAAUGUCAUGCUUUGUUGUUGGGACAACGAUACAAGGAUUACGUUAUACCGUGAAGCAAUCACAUAUCCCAUGUCUGUUAUAUCCAUCCACUUGUCCACACUAACCUGAAUGAACCAAACAUACACAUGUAAGUAAUUUAAACAUUGUUAUUAAAAAAAAUUAACCUAAAAACAUACCUUUGAAAAUCCAUCAACAAGUAGGGACAACUUUAAUUGUUCAAAUCUCUCUGUGCCACCGAAGAGGUUCAUGUACUCAUGCGACCACCUGCCAAGUUCUUUAAGCAAUUCAUUACGCACUAACGGCCACGAAUCUUCCCCCAUACCUAAUAAAGCGCCAAUGGACCGAUAUCCACAGUUACCGUCCGCUUUCACAUCCACAACGUCACGAAUGAAACCUUGAAAGAAUGACGCAAAUUGAUCCAACAUCGGGAUGAUCCUUGUUGGCUGACGCGGUUGAGAACAUGAUGCACUUCGUUUCACUGGAGAGUUGCUGCUUUGAACAGAAUGAAAAGCAUCAACAUACUCCCAGUAAGACGGAUCACGCUUUGUGGAUGUUUGACUUCUUUUCAUCGGUUUCUUCGGUGCACCUUUAGUGUUCACCUUUGAUGGAGGAGGGCACAUAGAGUUAUGAUCAGGGUAUGCGAUUUCUCGAAGUUUACUCUUCAGAUUUACUUUGCCAGCCACAUCAAGUUCAUCAAACCUUUUAGAUAUGACCUCUAUUUCUUCCUUGAUGGUGACUUCCGUCUCACAUAACCCUUGGUCUGAAAAGCAAAGUCUCCUCCAAAAAAGAUGGACUGACUCCAAUGGGAUGCUGCUAGCAGUAUACCUAGAAAGCUCACAUGCACAAGGAAGCCCGUGCGUGCUUCUCAUCACACAACCACAAGAAGAGAGAUUGUUGCCGAGAUAACGUAGACGGUCAAUCUCAGAAGCAAUCUGAUUUAAAGCAUCCCUCGAAACCAUCCCAAGAAGCCUCUUGUAUAAGGUUUUUUUAUAUACAUGGCCAACCACAUGCGUACUGGUUUCAAAGGAUGCUUUAAUUUCGACGUGUUGCAGCGUGAUCAUGUUGUUCAUGGCAUCCCAAACACUACAUAGGUCUCCAACGCUAUUUUGUAGUACUCUUUUGAGAGCCCAAUGAGCUGAUUCAACCCUACAUUUAAAAUACACAACAAACAUGAAAAUAUACAACAAUUAAAUACCAUUUAAUAUUAAUCGUUACUAACAAAUAAAAUCAGUUGUUAAUACCUGUUUGUUGUUGUGUUGCCUAGGUGCAUGACCUUAUUCGUCCAUGCUGUAAUAAAUUUUUCCUUGUGGGGGAUAAUCCAUGUGUCGUUAACAUAGUCAACGAACAUCGGCCAAGGCGAACAAGCAACUUGAAACUUCUGAUAUGACUCAUGGAACUCGUAUUCGGACGGACAAUCAACCAAAGUACCCCAGUUAUCCAUUACAUAGUCCCACGCAUUUUUUUCCCCGAUUAAAGAUUUGCACUUCGCCUUCACAUUCUUAUCGAUAUGAAACCUGCACAACAAAUUAGUAGACUCGGGAAACACAGUUUUCACUGCAUUCAUCAGUGCUAGGUCUCUGUCAGUGACAAUAACAAGAGGGAGGCGAUCGUGUCUUAAAAAUAGGCCUCGAAAUCGUUCCAAAGCCCAUACAAUAUUAUUAACACGCUCAGCCUCCAGAUAUGCAAACCCAGCAGAGAAUGUCAUCGCCGUUGGUGUCACUCCAACAAAGUCAAGUAGUGGGAGUCUGUACCUGUUUGUUUUGUAGGUACUGUCUAUAAAAAACACCAGAUGACAUGCAUUGCAUAACUUUACUGCAUCUGGGUGACACCAAAACAGAUCACGCACCACAACUUCAUCCUUCAAUCUAUGCCAAUGAAUGUAUUGAUCACGUUCGAGAAGCUUCAUCAGAUGCUGCAUUUCGGUAUCAGCUCCUCUUAUUGAAGAACGAUAUGCACUUCUUGCAUUGUAAAUUUGCUUUAUCGUGGUGUAACUGUCGGCAUUGUGUUCCUUCAACGUUAGCAAGAUGUUUUUCGGUUUCACCAUCGACUUUGUCAUAUCAGCAAUAAUUUUCUUUUCUUCCUUAGUCAAUCGCCCGGCGUAUGGAUGUCCAACUAAGGACUUCGCCAAUUCAUGAUUAUGAAUCCCACAGAUCAACUUCACCAUCCAACCUUCCCCUCCACGCACUGGUUUCCCACGAAGCCUGAAGGGACAACCACAUUUCCUACUCCCGGUGUCUUUUCUAACGAAUUCUUUAUUUCUACACUUGUACGUACCACUCCUUUCACACCCAAUUAACACAAAUGAACUUCUUCCUCUGCUACCGGUCUCUGUGUCAGAUCUCAUAAUCACUGCAACAAAUCCAUUUUCAUGGGCAACUGUUCGAGCCCAUUGCAAAACAUCAUCUCGAGUAGUGAAUACCUACAACGCAACCCUAACACAUUAAUUUUCGUACAAACCAUCAAUUCAACCAAUGACUCAAAUUAUCUAUGAUUACCUGAGAUGUAUUAAAAGCAUUUGAACAAUCGACAUGUCGUUCAUUCACUCCACAUUCUUCUUGAUUAUCAUAAUCAUAAUCCAUAUCAACUUCUUGUGACAUCGCAAAGUCAUACCUCCAUUGAUCUUCGUCCAUCUUAAGGACAUAUGCAUCAUACACAAGUACAUUCAAAUUAUCAUAUAACCACAUCCAAAAAUUUACUACACCUUAAAUAACAAACAUAUUAAUAGGACAUAUGCAUCAUACACGACUAUAUUAAAAUUAUCACUAUAUUCUAAAUUUAUAACUACAUUAUUUACUUAAACUAAACUUAUCACUAUAAUAAACAACUAAUAAAACAUUUUUGUACCAUUAUACAUUUAAGUUACCUAAAUCAUUUAAUAUUAUACCAUUAUACCUAAUUAAAUCAAUAAUCCACAACAUAUAUAAACCAGAAAUAAAAAAAAAUUAUAAAACAGAAAUAUAUAUACCAUUAUAAAACAAAAAAAAUUAUAAUCCACAAUAUAUAUCAUUAUACCUAAUUAAACCAAUAAUUCAUUAUUAACUAACAGAAAUAUAUAUAAAACAGAAAUUAAAAAAAUUAUAAAACAGAAAUUAAAAAAAUUAUAAAACAGAAAUUAAUAAAUUAGUAAUAAUUAACAUUCCGGAAGAAGUUNNNNNNNNNNNNNNNNNNNNNNNNNNNNNNNNNNNNNNNNNNNNNNNNNNNNNNNNNNNNNNNNNNNNNNNNNNNNNNNNNNNNNNNNNNNNNNNNNNNNNNNNNNNNNNNNNNNNNNNNNNNNNNNNNNNNNNNNNNNNNNNNNNNNNNNNNNNNNNNNNNNNNNNNNNNNNNNNNNNNNNNNNNNNNNNNNNNNNNNNNNNNNNNNNNNNNNNNNNNNNNNNNNNNNNNNNNNNNNNNNNNNNNNNNNNNNNNNNNNNNNNNNNNNNNNNNNNNNNNNNNNNNNNNNNNNNNNNNNNNNNNNNNNNNNNNNNNNNNNNNNNNNNNNNNNNNNNNNNNNNNNNNNNNNNNNNNNNNNNNNNNNNNNNNNNNNNNNNNNNNNNNNNNNNNNNNNNNNNNNNNNNNNNNNNNNNNNNNNNNNNNNNNNNNNNNNNNNNNNNNNNNNNNNNNNNNNNNNNNNNNNNNNNNNNNNNNNNNNNNNNNNNNNNNNNNNNNNNNNNNNNNNNNNNNNNNNNNNNNNNNNNNNNNNNNNNNNNNNNNNNNNNNNNNNNNNNNNNNNNNNNNNNNNNNNNNNNNNNNNNNNNNNNNNNNNNNNNNNNNNNNNNNNNNNNUUCCCUUGUAUUAUGCAUAGCGGGCUUCAUGGGUUUUUUUAGGAAGAGGCCUAAAAUGCUUAAUGGGUUUUUUUAAUGAAUAGUGUUCUGCUCAAAGCCCAUUGUAACUACUGCGAAUGCCUACACAACUGGUCCAAAGGAGUUGCUACGUGCACCCAGCAUUAUUGCUAACACCCCCCUGAAAACGUUAAAACAGUGAAGUGGCGAAACUGCCCUUCAGCAAUUAUUCUUCCGGAAAAACUCACAGACAAUUUCCGGAGAAACUUCUUCCGGAAGUCUUCCGGAAGAAGCUUCUUCCGGAAGACACUGGAAUUCUUCCGGAAGAAGCUUCUUCCGGAAACAUUCCGGAUGACGUUCUUCCGGAAAUUGUCUGUGAGUUUUUCCGGAAGAAUAAUUGCUGAAGGGCAGUUUCGCCACUUCACUGUUUGCUGGGUGCCCCAGCAAUAAUGCUGGGUGCACGUAGCAACUCCCUUGGACCAGUUGUGUAGGCAUUCGCAGUAGUUACAAUGGGCUUUGAGCAGAACACUAUUCAUUAAAAAAACCCAUUAAGCAUUUUAGGCCUCUUCCUAAAAAAACCCAUGAAGCCCGCUAUGCAUAAUACAAGGGAAAAAGAAAAGAAAAGAAAAGAACAGAACGAAAGAAUCACCUGACAAAGAAAGAGAGGAAAAGUAUAUAGAAGAAAUUUUGGUGAGACUUAUCCCAUCCAUGCUCAGGAAUCAAGAAAUAGUCCUUUUCAGUUUCAUUCACUACGUAUCAAUCACCUUCUCCUUCCACCAAUCUUCAGCCUUAAAAAACUUGCAAGAAAUAAUACGGCAUUGGAACGUUCUAUGGAUCAGAUCAUGUUUUUGGUAAUUCUGUACGUUUAGAGCAAGUGGUGCAUGUCCUCUUAACCGCUGCAUGGUGGCAAAUUAAUCCAGCGCCAAAAUAAUGGGCUAUGGGAUAAAUUUGCAUCCGCUCAUGCACCACUUUCUGAAUGUAGACGUGGUAUUGAAUAACUGCAGAACCUAAUUCGGCCUUUUAUAAGUUUUAUUACUUGAUUAAAAUUCACUUGUCAAUUGUGAUUUGUGAAGUUCUGAUUGUUGAAAUAUGUAUACAAAUCUUAAGUUAAUUAUAUAAAAUUUUGAAAAAGUAAAAAAAAAUAAAAAUUCUUUAGUAUUUUUCAUGAGUUUAAAAGAAAAAAAAUAUAUCUGAAAAGGAUUAUGCCAUAAAAAAUAUUUUUAACAAAUUUAAAUUAUGUAUAAUCUAAUUCUUCUGUUUUCUUUUAAUCUUUCCCUAUCUUUAUAAUCUUUUUUACUUUUUUCAUGCGGUGCUUCUCUUAUUUCCGUUCGAACGCCUCGUGUGAUAAGCCCGUAAAUAUGAAAAAGAAUAAUGAUAUUUUUUAUGUUUGAAUGGAAAAUAAAAGAUACAACAGAACAAUUGAUUUUAUACAAAAAAAUGGUUUUUCUUUAGUUUACAUUUUUCUUCAUUCAAAUAAAUAAAGGAUAAAUGAACAAGCAAUCAAGUAUGCUCAUCAUACUUAUAAUAUCUAAAAAAGUAACAGAUUUUAGCAUUUUUUUAAAUGUUAGUUUUUAAUCUUUUAUAUUUUUUAUUUUUAUUUUUAAUAUAUUUAUCAAAUUUAUUAAUUAUCUUUUUUAAAUAGUUUACGAUUUUAUUGCUUUUCUAUUUUAUUUUUUACAAUUUUUAGUUACUUUAACCAUUAUUUUAAUUGAACAUUUAUAAUUUAAUAAAUUAAUUUUUCAGCUUUCAAUUAUUAAUUUUUAAUUAGAUUUUCGGCUAGUUUUUUUUUAACACAGCCCAAAUAUAAAAGUGUGUUGUUAAUUAUAGGAAAAUCACAAAGGAUUUUGUUUAUAAGCAAAUAAAGAGGAAGUUAAAUAGAAAAUUAAAAGUAAAGAUUUCUGACAAAAAGAGAGAACUAAUAAUAAUAAUAAUAAUAACUGAAAAUUAAUUGAACUAUAAACCACCAAACUGAAAAUUAAUUUACUACUACUCUUAGACUAAUUAAAAUUUACAAUAAUUAGUUUAAUUUGAUUUUGAUUGAUUUUCAUUAAAAUAUUAUUCCAUAAAAAUUUAUAUACUUUUUUAUUUUUGAAAUCAAAUUAUAUUAAAAAAAAUCUUAUUAAUAAUCUAUAUAAAAAAUUAACAUGCUAAACAUUCUAUAAAAAAAAUAUGCUAAAAUUUCAAUUUUGGUUAAAUCAACUAUAUAUUGAAAAUGUCAUCAAUAAAAUAAUAUGAAACCCAAUUGAUAUUCAUAUAAAAAAUAUUUAAAAAAUGUAACAUUAAAGUAAUAUAUAAGUGUUGUAGGUUGAUUUGAAUUUAGAAACAUAAAUAGCAAACUCAAUUUUGAUUUUAAUUUUUUUUAAAAAAAAUUGGUUUUUAUUUUGAAUUUGUUUCGAUUUGACCACCCUUAAUUUAAGUGAAAACAUUUGUGGUUUUUACAUUAAGGAGAUCAUCCAACUAAUAAUAAGAAAUUAAUAUCUUUUUAAGAUGUGGACUUUUUUUAUUUGCAAUGAGACGUGGAGAUUAUCAAAUUCUAAAAUGUAGAGAUGACACCUAAAUUUUGCCUAACUAUUUAUUACGUUAAAGAUAUAAAAAAAAUUAUUUAGUUUUGUAAAUAAUUUUAAACAUAUAAUAAAAGUUCGUAUUUUUACCUCAUAUGUCCAUGUAUGGGCCAUCGUAGCUAUACCUAACUUUACUGCCGGUCUAACCUAACCUAAGUAAAAUAAUAAUUGGUUAAGUUUACGGGAUUUGAUUGAAAAUAUCAAAUUUGUCAAUCACAUACCCCAAACUGACUUGAUUAUUCUUGCAGCAAUGUAUAUCACUUUAUAUAAUAGAAAAUACCAAUAAUUAUGACAUAAAUAAAUUUUAUUCGUGAAACUGCAACUAUAUACUUUAUUUUAAAUUUAAAUUAAAUCAUAAAUGUAUGAAUGAAAUAAAGGUGUAUUUUUAAUUAGCAUAUAUAUAUAUAUAUAUAUAUAUAUAUAUAUAUAUAUAUAUAUAUAUAUAUAUAUAUAUAUAUAUAUAUAAACUGAAAUCUUAAGGAAAUAUAGUCAUUAAUUAUUUUACUUUUAUAUUUAUUAAAUCAAAUUAAGCAUAAAUGUUAAAUUAAAAUAAAUUUUAUAUUUAUUACUUUCCUUUUUAUUUUAUUUUGAUUUUUUUUUUACUAUUUUUGUUGCAAUGUAUACUACUUUGUAUAAUAAUAAAUUAUAUAUAUAUAUAUAUAUAUAUAUAUAUAUAUAUAUAUAUAUUUAUAAACUGAAAUCUUAAAUAUAACAUAAACAUUAAAUUAAUCAUUAAUGUUUUUCUUUUUAUAUUUACUAAAUCAAAUUAUUCAUAAAUGUCAAAUUAAAGCAUUUUUUUACUUUCCUUUUUAUUUUAUUUUGUGACUAUUUUAGUGCACCUAAAAUUACAAAAAUGGCCAUUCAGUUUUGGGGGGAUUUUUUUUUGCAGCAAGGUAUACUACUUUAUAUAAUAAUAAAUAAAUAAUAUAAUAAUAAAUUAUAUAGCAAAUUUAAUUUAAUAAGAAAAUAUAAUAAUUAUUUAUCAGGACCAUUUUUUUAAUUAAUGAGUUACUAGUCACACACUCUUUUGAUUAUGUUAUUUUUUAUUGUUUGAAAUUGAUUAAAAAAAAAUUGGUUCUCAUAUUAUAUCUUGUAUUCUUUUAACAUGAAUUUAUAAUUUUUAAUAAAGUUUAAUAUAUUAAAGAAUGUGUGUUCGAAAAUUUGUUCCUGAUUUUGUGAUAUAACUAAUUUUGGGUUAGACAACCAGCUAAAAUCUUCCAAAACUGGCCGGAUCGGAUUUGUCACAUCAAACCCACACAUGCAAUAAUUCAACCCCCUUUAUUUAUUUUUAUCUAUUUAUUGACUGAAAUCAACCCCCUUUAUUAGAAAAAUACAUAAAAGAAAAUGUUUGUUGAGAAAAAAAUGAAGACGAAGAUGACGAUACACGUUCUUGAAUCAAACAUGGCGUUACAAUUAGGUGUAUGUGUGAAUUAGAAAACUCUGGGGACUUUUCAAAAUUCUCCUUCUCUAGGGUGGUACCUCCCAAACUUCUCGUGAUACCAAAUAGCCGCAUGGUAUUAGUAUGCAUAUGGUACGGUACCCGCCACCUUCAAUAUAUGCAACCCAACAACACCAAUUCUCACCAAACCAUAUAUGCUCCUUUCAUCAUUUAAUUUGAAUCAUAUUGCUCUCUCUCUGCGUUAGUUGUAUCGCACAUCAUCGUACGUGAUCACAAAAUUACCCUUUGGCAGAACAAGCUACUAAUAUAAACCUCAGGGUUUUGUGGAAAAAAAGAAGGAAGAGAUCGACGAUGUUACAGAGCCCCAGAAAGUUUGUGACGCCCUUUACUAAAUGUGUUUCUGAUCUCAAUUGGCGUUUAACUGGGUUGAUCAUCCCUCUAGUUUUAUUCAUCACGUUCUUCUCUCUCCAUUAUUCAUCUUCCACUUCUUCAAACGGUUUUUCAGCCUUUUACCCUGUUCAGCAGUUUCUCUUCAACCUCCCUUUUAAGUUUAUCAGCGAGGAAGAUCCUGUUGUUUCCAAGGAUGAGUUGUUGCGGUCCAAAAUUGCGGUGUGUUUGGUUGGUGGUGCCAGAAGGUUCGAACUCACGGGACCCUCCAUUAUCGAAAUGGUGCUCAAAGAAUACCCCAAUUCGGAUGUUUUUCUUCAUAGCCCGUUAGACAAGGACACGUUCAAGUUCUCGCUCCUGAAGUUUGCGCCGAACGUCGCCGCCGUUCGAAUCUUCCACCCUCAACCGUUGCCGGAAAACGAGUCGUAUGUUCGAGUCCUCACCGCGCAUAACUCGCCCAACGGAAUCCAGGUCAUUUCGCUGCUAUUUUCUCUUUCUUUCUUUCAUUAUUAUUACUACUUUUUCCCCUUUUUGGAUUUUGAUUCCUAAAAAUACCACAUCAUCAGAAUCAUGUUGUUAAACGUAUUAUUGCUGAUUACAGUGAAUGAAAUUAUAUUAUUAGUGUUGCAUUUUUUGUAAUUGUUUUAGUUUUUAUUUUUUAAGUAGCUAGUGUCUUGAGUACACUUUUUAGGAAUCUCCACAUAUUGUUUGGUUGAUAUUGGUUUUAUGGAAUAAUUUGUGCAAGUUGCUCUGGGUCACAUUUUUUGUACCUUGGCGGAUAUUUUCAUAUCAGUAUCGAAUUCAUUUCUUUUUCACCUCGCCUUCCAGAAACCAGAAGUCUAUUUAUAUUUAUUUAUUUAUUAGGAUGCUAUCUUAAAAGAAAAGUAAAAUACAUUAUCAAAUAUCUUUACUUGCACUACAUUUCAUCUUCCUAACCCAUGUAGGUUGGUUAAAGCAAAAACUGUUGAGGGAACCCAGUCAUUUAUGACUGGGACAGAAUGUUUUAACUGUAUUAAAUAUAUAGGAGGUUAUUAUCGUAGGCACGUAACACGUACGUUCACGUUAGGUCGUGUAUUUAUGCAUAUGUUUAUCUUUAAAGUAUACUUAUCUAUAAAACGGAUACUUAAUUUGUAUAACUUUAUAUGUAUGUUAAAAGUUAAUUUAAUUAGGUAGUAACGUUCUUUUUUUAAGAAUUUAUACACAUCAUUCUUAUAUUAUAAUAUAAUUAAUAAUAAUAUAAAAUAUGAUACUAAAGGAGAAAUAAAUUGAAACUGAAAAAAAUAUUUGAAAAGUUAAUGUUUUCUAUUUAUAUUAAAUUAAAUUUGAUAAAAUCUGUUUGAAUUUUUAUUUUUAAAAGCUUGAUAUAUCUCAUAAAAAAACAGCUGAUAUAUAAUAAUCUAUUUUCCACAUACUGGAAUAUAUUUUUUCGUUUUUAUGUAAUAUCCAGGUCAGUUUGAUCGACACUUUCAAUUAUUUGGCAAGCUUUUUUUUGAAAAUGUUCCUGAACAUAAAAUUGGGAUGAUAAAAAAAUAUCAAUUUAAUAUAAUAAUAUAUAUUUUAAGAUAAGUAUAACAUACAAUAUUAAUUUUAAAUUUGUUUCAUUACUCAAAUGAAUAAUGGAAACAUUUACUCUUUUUUUCACUGGCUAUCAGUCAACCACUUUGUACUUGAAUUUGCUGCAAUUCUAAAACACAACCAUCUUUACUUAUAGCUAAAUUAAUUCCUAGCCUGUUUUACUUUUUAUUAAAUAUGUCUACAGUCUUGUGGAUCUGUUAAAUCUUUAUUUAUUUAAUUGUUUAAUAUUUACUUAUUUAGGAUCGAGUUGGAUAAAAUUAGAAACUUUGGAGAGUUAGGAGGCAGUUUUCAGUUUGGUAGGGUUGACAGGGGUAGUGUGUGAGGGCAAGUUCCUAUUUUCGGGUCACCAUUCCUUUCUUACCCUCAAUGAUUUAUGAACUUUAAUUGCUAAAUCAGUAAAGCUAAACUGAACAACCAAGCUUGCUUAGAAUUGAAGUAUCAAGUAGUAGUAUGACGCCAACGUAGAAACUAAAUGCUAAUUAUGACUGUUUUUAUUUAUUUAUUUAUUUUUGGUAUUGAUAUAUGACUGAAUUUAAUUUACGUUAUUACGCAGGGGCUUCUUCAGUACUUUAACCUAGUGGAGGGAUGCCUAACGAUGAUAAAAUCACACCAACAGAAGAAAAACUUCACGUACGAUUGGAUAAUCCGAACACGUGUUGACGGGUACUGGAACGCACCGUUGGGUUCCGAAAACUUCGUUCCGGGAAAGUACCUGGUCCCAGCGGGCUCCUCGUACGGUGGACUCAACGACCGUUUAGGAAUCGGCGACCUCAGAACCUCGACGGUGGCACUGUCGCGUCUCUCUUUAGUUCCAAACCUCGAUUCCGCUGGCUUCAACAACCUCAACUCAGAGGCAGCGUUUAAGGCCCAACUCACGACGCUGAACGUGAGCCACGUGGCAAAACGACUCCCGUUUUGCGUCGUUUCGGACCGCAGGUACGAUUUUCCACCGGGGCGGUUCGGGGUGCCGGUGGCGGCGCUGUCGAGCCCGGGCCCACUGAGUGGGGCCAAGUGCAGGCCAUGCAGGGAGGUGUGUGAGGGUUUGUGCGCGGAAACUGUGAUGGAUUCGGUUGAGAAGGUGUGGAGUUGGACCCAUUGGGAGAACGGUGCGCUUCAGCUUUGCGACGCUCACGAUGCGUGGGAGAGUGGUUGGGAGAAGAAUUUUGACCGGCUUGCUGGGAAGAAAUUUGCGGCGGCUAGGAAGCGAAUUCAGUCUAUGAAAAUGGAGGAGUGCGUUAAGGAUUUUGUUCAAUUGAGGAAACGGAGUGCGCAUUGGAGUGCGCCUCUGGUGGAUGAGAUUUGUGCAUUGGGUUUGAAUCCACCCUGAACACCGUUUCUUUCUUUCUGUCACACAGUUUAGUAAAGUCACUACUGGAUUUUCUACUUUUCUUUGGCGGAAAUAGGAGAAAUAUCAAUUCUUUUUUCACUCGUUGGAAUAUUUAUUUUUCAAAUUUAAAUAUAUAACUAUAUAUAAGUGGGUGUGAAUAUGGCACUCUAAUAAAAUAAGUACAUCGUGUUAAAGUAAAAAGAGAGAGAAAUAUGUUUUUAGACUUUAAUAAACAAUAAUAAAAUUAAUAUUACUUAAUUAUAAUGUAUCUAUAAUUUAUUAUUUAUAUCUAUCUAUAAUCUCUAUAUAAACGUAGUUUUUUUUUUUAAUACAAGCCGAAACAGGAAAACAUGAGAAAGAGAAAACUAGAAACGAACGGACAGAAACUCCUAAAGCAUCAGAAAACAGAGAUUGUUUCAGAUCAUUAGGACAGUUUUCCCACACUUUGAAAAAUAUAGUUUAUUCGACAGUUUUGAUGAGUGAUUAAAAUUGGGAUUUGGGAGUUAUCUGAGAGUUGGUUAUGCAUGAUAAUUGAAAAAUAAUUAUGAAUAAUAUAUUUUCUAAUUACUUAUUAUCAGACUUAGACCAUAAAAAAAACUAUUUUUAAUCAAAACUCAUUUUAAAAAUUAAGGACAUUGGCCCACGUACUCAGUUCAUGUAUUUCGUUCGUAACAAACAACAAUGCUGAACAGUAUAAUUUGUACUCUUUUAUUCAUCUAAUUACUUAUUUAUCCAUCCGUCAUUUAUUCAUUUUUUGGUAUCAUCAUCAAAUAAUAAUAGAAUAAGAAAGCAAAAAAGAAAAAGAAAAAAAAAAGGAAGAAGACAAAACAAAAGUGGAGAAGAGAGGGCGUGGAAGAAGCUCCUAUAUAUGAGAAUGAAAAGCAGUUGUACGGCCUUGUGUUUUAUUCUCUUCUCUUCUUUGGUAACUAGCAUGGGCCAUAUAUAUUAUUUAUUUGAGUAGCAAAGCUCUCAGUACUGAAAAACAGUGGACCAGGCACGUCUCUCUCGUUCUGGAGAUCACCGUAAAAAUCAUCACCCAACUUUGACGUACAAAAGGAGACAGACACAACACAACACAACCACCGUACCCUCUUGGUUCUCUUCUCAAGUUUGUUCAUGUGAUUCCACCAUCAUCAUCAACGUCAAUUAAUACAACACACUGCAUGCCCCACACCACGUGUACCAGCAAGACCCAUGAAUUCAAACCCCAAAUCCCAGUCAUUUUGCUAUGGCCACCGCUAACGUGAAAUUAAUACAUUACUUCCAAACAAACGCCAACUAAAAGAAAAGAAGAGGAAGCAGACAAGCAGCGGCAUCAGUUCUAUCAAUAUUUUUUUUCUCUUGCACUACUAGUUGGUUUCAAUUUGUUUCUGCAAUUAGACGAUUCGGUUGAUCCGAAGUAGUCGAGUCAUGUUGAUCUUGGAAUAUUUCUUGAAUGAGUUUAUUCUGUACUAACAGAAAACACUGUUGGAAGUCGCGUUGCUGCCUCAGUUUCCAACCAAAUUCAAGUCCAACUCUUGUUAGAGGAAUUGUGCUGGUGGCAUGAAAUGAACCACGAAGCAAAUUGUUGAAGAUUGGAGGAUCAAGUUACUGAAACGGUGUUGCCCUUGCGUUUUAUUUUUUGCAAAACGUAAAGGGAAUUGCCUCAACAAUUUUUUAGCCUGUUAAACGAAGAGAGAAUUUAAGAAACAUUUUUUAUAGUUCAGUGUAAGAAAAAUUGGAAAUUAGGAGUCUGUGGACGAAAGAAGAACUGGCCAUAGGCAUGCGUCCAUUGUAACGGGCCCACCUAGGCCUAAUCUGGUGCAAUGGAUGCCGCAAGGAAAUUACUAUUCACACCUCCCUUUCACUAUUAAAGGUAAACCCCCUGCCUUUUUAGAAAUGAUUUAAAUACUCCUGAGUCUUGACAUUUAACCACCGUAUUACCGGCGGUGAUCUUAAAAAUCAUUUUCAAAAUAUUUUAGGAUGUAACAAUUCAAAUAUUUUAGAAAUUUGAUUUUUGUUUAUAUUUUAAUUUAAGAAUUAGGAUUAGUCUCUCUUGUAUAUUUUAAAACUUAAAACUUAUAAUUCAGUAAAAUACACGUCAUAUUUGCUAGUUGUUAUAAUUCAAUCAUAUUUUUAAGAGAAGUAAUCAAGCUGAAAUAGCGACAUUUACAAUAUUGAAAUUUCUUUGGGUGGCAUAUAAGUGUAAUGGACUUGUGGUGCUGGUUCUCUUUUGUUUGCUUAGCUGUUUCUUUCUUCGUCAUGAUCAUGUUACGCACACUAAGAAACAAAAAAAUUGACUUGCGAAAUGACUUAUUUCGAUUCGUUUUUAAGUUAAUUUUAAGAUUGUUUUAUUAACACAAAUCAUUCCGUUCACUUGUGUAUUUGCAUUUAUUUUAAUUUUAGUACGGUUGAAAUGGUCAUAACAUUUAUGAUGGUGAAAUAUCUGUAUGAUUUUUCCAUUUUUUUAAUACGGUCAUUCAGUAUUAUAAUAUCUACUUAUUUUGGGAAGGUAUGCAUUAACAAAUUAUUCCCACUUAUUUUUUAAAAGACUAUGUAGCAAAUUGUAGCAUCAAUUAGUAAGGAUAAAAGUGUUGGCUGCCUAAAAGAAAAGCAACAUAAAAGGUGGUCAGGGAGAUGUAGCAUUAAGUCACUAACCAUAUAUAGGAAGAAAAAAAACAUAAAAGAUGAAGCAACACCAUGAUAAGGGAUUAUUAUAUUUUGUUACUGGAUAUAAGACUGGCCAGUGAUAUCUAAAUCUCUGUCUCCGGUUGAAGGGGGAGGGUUGUGUUUGGGCUUGAUAGCGUCCUUAUCAACGGGGCCAUCAGCACUCUGGCUCUCACUUGCCGGUGGCUUUGUUGGCUUCUCCGGUUGCCCUUUCUCCGUACCGUACAUUCCACCACCAUAGGCACCAUGUGUUACCGGCUCCAUUCUUGAGAUUUGGGGUCCUUCCCCCAGUUUUUGCUUUUCAUUUUCACCCUCUUUUUCCAUUUGAGGCUGAGUGAUCCCACCCCUCUCCUCAUUAUGUACAUCUUUAUUUCACCUUGUAUGUUGGACGAGUGUCUUUUUUUAUUUACGUGCCAACAUAUAUCCAUGCCACGCAGCCCAUGUUCUCUUUCAACCGCUUCAUGUAAACACCAUAUUCUUCCUUUUUAUUUGUGCAUGUCUUGCACUUAUGCUUCUUUUCUUUUCUAGAUUUUUUUGGGUCAUAUUUUUUACCCAUUAUUCGGCUUAGGCCCAUUGAAUUUUGAACAGUGACUAUUUUUUGUGGAUAGAACAAUUUAACGGGGACAAUAGUUUGUCUGGGCCUGUUUUCCCUUUUCUUUUGGGCUUUCUAUCCCAUACGAAAAAAGGAGACAAUGUUUUGUCCU
rnacentral:lncRNA from 1 species